rnacentral:rRNA from 1 species
UGAGUAGGCGGUUAUAUAUGUCAGGUGUAAAAGGCGUAGGCUUAACUUACGUAAGCACUUGAAACUGUAUGACUUGAGAGCAGGAGAGGUAAGUGGAAUUCCUAGUGUAGCGGUGAAAUGCGUAGACAUUAGGAGGAACACCAGUGGCGAAGGCGACUUACUGGACUGUAACUGACGCUGAGUCACGAAAGUGUGGGUAGCAAACA